rnacentral:rRNA from 1 species
UGAGGAAUAUUGGUCAAUGGGCGGUAGCCUGAACCAGCCAAGUAGCGUGAAGGAUGAAGGUUCUAUGGAUUGUAAACUUCUUUUAUAAAGGAAUAAAGUGAGGCACGUGUGCCUUUUUGUAUGUACUUUAUGAAUAAGGAUCGGCUAACUCCGUGCCAGCAGCCGCGGUAAUACGGAGGAUCCGAGCGUUAUCCGGAUUUAUUGGGUUUAAAGGGAGCGUAGAUGGGUUGUUAAGUCAGUUGUGAAAGUUUGCGGCUCAACCGUAAAAUUGCAAUUGAUACUGGCGUCCUUGAGUACAGUUGAGGUGGGCGGAAUUCGUGGUGUAGCGGUGAAAUGCUUAGAUAUCACGCAGAACUCCGAUUGCGAAGGCAGCAUACCGGCGCCCGACUGACGCUCAUGCACGAAAGCGUGGGGUAUCGAACAGGAUUAGGAUACC